ensembl:lncRNA
UGUGGGUUGGCGGUGGUGGGUCAUCGCAGAGCCGGCUGUGGACCCAAGGAUGUUUUUAAGAGGCAAGAUCUGAGAACAGCUGGGAAAUAGGGAUGGACAGGGGGCACUGCAGUAUGGUGUGAUUGACCUGAUAAUUCUUGGCAACUCUGCACAGAUUAAGCUUUCUUUCUUGAUACCAGCAUUGGACAGUGAUAACAAGCUUGGCCCAGACGGGUGGUGUGAGAAGCUGGGACAACAUGUGGCUCAAAGCUUGUUCGGAGGGAGUUAUCUGAGACAUGAGAAGCUGGAGAAUGGUUGGCUCAAAGCAUGUUCAAUGAUAGCCAUCCAAGGCAUGACCUGCCCAACAAGUUUUUGGAGUUAAUGGCUGACUACUGCGAGCACAGUGGUAAGAGGACAGAUGCUCUGUUUCUCCUGAUGAAAAAAAUUGUGGGUCCCUUGACAGCUACCGUUGUCAUGAUGGACAGUACCAGGUGGCCCUGAUUAUUGGGGUAGAUGGGCCUGAAUAAUUAGGAGGACGAACUGGUACCCCAUCUGCCAAAAUGCAGCCAUGUAAAUCAACGAGAUGUCAGCUGCUGCCUCAACCUGCUGCCUCCCCAUAGGCCAGUGUGACAUCACUGGUGGUGACUAUAGGUGCUCUGUAAACUGUUUGCUAGAAUUUCUUUCUUUGCGUUCACUAGUUUCCCCAUCUCCCCCACAUCCCUUAGUAGCUCAGAACUGUAAUGCUGAUUAUGCUCUGACUCAAGACUUAAUACUUGUUUAUACUGCGAUAAAUCAUAAAAGGGUGAUGAAAUUGUUAUUCUUACCAAUCAUUUUAUAUAUAUAUCUAUAUAUAAGAAAAAGAGGGGGAAUUGUGAGAGGUAAAUUGUGUUGCGCAGUGGAAAAUUUAAGUAUUUCUGUAUUUGUAUGUAUUCUAUAUGUAUAUUUCACAGGAAAAUGUGUCUUUCACAAAGAAAGCUCCAAAACAGAGUAAUGUAGAGACUGAGGUGUUGUGACCUAGGUAGAAUGGGCACAGGUACUAGGUAAGGUAAUUGUAUAGGGUAGGGGAGAGUUUGGUACAGAACAGAAUGAGUGUGAUAACUUUUGAAAACACUGUCCUCCUGUUGCCAUAAAAAGUGAAGAAUGUGGCUAAAAGUAACGGGUUGGAAACAGGCAUUGUAAAGAAAUAGAAGGCAGCAAAAGCAUCGGAAGACAGGGAGCUGGAGAUGUGGAAUCCAUGAGUACCAGGAGAGGCAUUACCUGCAUUGGAACCAAGGUAUCUUGUGGAAUGCAUUUCACUAAGGAGUAGUGGGCGUGUGUCUGUGACUGAAUAAAGGCCUCUGUGCAUAAUAAUGAAUAAACUCAAGGAGAUGAUCGCUUGUUGAAUGAAGAUCAUCUCAUCUCACAUCUCACCUCACCUCAUCCCCCUUCUCUCCUCUGAGUUUACUGAUCUCAUUAUCUCAUCAUCUUCCUCCCAUCAGACACUGCCACCAUUCUGUCUGCUUUUGGGUUAAAGAAUGAAAUUUUACUUGCUCUGGGUGCUACAUGAAGGCAUCAGGCCUUUCUGCCACUCCAAAUAAUGCGUCAGCACCUGAGCUCAGCGUGUACACUGCAGCUUGGGCCUGGUGAGGGCCCAGG